rnacentral:rRNA from 1 species
AACGAACGCUGGCGGCAUGCCUAACACAUGCAAGUCGAACGAGACCUUCGGGUCUAGUGGCGCACGGGUGCGUAACGCGUGGGAACCUGCCCUUAGGUUCGGAAUAACUCCCCGAAAGGGGUGCUAAUACCGGAUAAUGUCUUCGGACCAAAGAUUUAUCGCCUUUGGAUGGGCCCGCGUUGGAUUAGCUAGUUGGUAGGGUAAAAGCCUACCAAGGCGACGAUCCAUAGCUGGUCUGAGAGGAUGAUCAGCCACACUGGGACUGAGACACGGCCCAGACCCCUAGGGGGGGCAGCAGGGGGGAAUUUGGAAAAAUGGGCGAAAGCCUGACCCAGCAGGGCCGGGGGAGUGAGGAAGGCCUUAGGGUUGUAAAGCUUUUUUACCCGGGAUAAUAAUGAAGGAACCGGGAAAAAAAGCCCCGGCAAACCCCGG